AUGGGCUACCCGAGGCGCCGCGCCCACCCGCGCCGCGGCGCCCUGCUGCCGGCGGUGGCGGCGCUCCUCCUGCUUUUCCUCGCCGUAUCGCUCCUCUCCAUCGCCAUCUCCGCGCCGCCGCUCGCGGACCGCCACCCCGGCAUCUCCCGCCGAUCCCUCCGCCACCCUCCGACGAGUCGAUGGACUGCGAGAGAUCUGUGGGGUUCGGAGCUCGCUAGCAACUUCUAUGGAUGCAGUCACUCUAGCGGAAAAUUUCUCGCCUUUUUAAAUCCUGCAGAUUCCAGUGUUGCCACGCAACCAGAUCGAUAUUUGCUUAUUGUUACAAGUGGAGGUCUGAAUCAGCAGAGAACAGGGAUAGUUGAUGCUGUAGUUGCUGCGCGCAUUUUAAACGCUACACUUGUUGUUCCCAAAUUGGACCAAACAUCUUUCUGGAAAGAUUCAAGCAAUUUUUCCGAAAUCUUUGAUAUCGACUGGUUCAUUUCAUUUCUUGCGAAGGAUGUCAAAAUUAUCAAAGAACCUCCACAAAAAGGAGGUAAAGCUGUGCGACCUUAUAAAAUGCGUAUACCCCGAAAGUGUACUCCACAAUGUUACUUGAAGCGUGUCUUGCCUGCACUUCUGAAGAAACAUGCUAUUCGACUGACUAAAUAUGACUAUAGGCUCUCAAAUAAGUUGGACACUGACCUACAAAAACUGCGCUGCAGAGUAAAUUACCAUGCUUUGAGAUUUACUGAUCCAAUAAAAGAGUUGGGUAAAAGGCUAAUACAGCGAAUGCGAGAGAAGAGCAGAUAUUUUAUUGCUCUUCAUCUGAGAUUUGAAAGUGACAUGCUUGCCUUUUCUGGGUGUUAUUAUGGUGGUGGAGAAAAGGAGAGAAGAGAUCUAGGUGCCAUUCGCAAGCGAUGGAAAACCUUGCAUACAAGUAACCCAGAGAAAGGAAGAAGGCAAGGUAGGUGCCCACUAACUCCGGAGGAGGUAGGGCUACUGUUGAGGGCAUUGGGCUAUGGAAGCAAUGUCCAUAUCUAUGCUGCUUCUGGUGAGAUAUAUGGAGGGGAAGAAACUUUGGCACCCCUCAAAGCGCUCUUCCCAAAUUACCAUACAAAAGAAUCAUUGUCAAGCAAAGAUGAGUUGACUCCAUUCUUGGCACACUCAUCCCGCAUGGCCGCAAUUGAUUUCAUUGUCUGUGAUGGAAGUGAUGCUUUUGUGACUAAUAAUAAUGGCAACAUGGCCAAAAUACUUGCUGAGCGGAGGAGAUAUUUUGGCCACAGGAGAACAAUCCGGCCAAAUGCCAAACAGCUCUACCACUUAUUUACAAACAGAGGAAAUAUGUCAUGGGACAAAUUCUCGUCGCAGGUGCGAAAAGUCCAGAAAGGAUUUAUGGGAGAUCCCAUGGAAGUGAAGCCAGGAAGAGGCGAAUUCCAUGCCUACCCUGCUGCGUGUAUAUGCGAGAAGACGGACGAAAAUAAAUCGAGCCCUGGUAGUAAUCAGGAAAUUGUUAACCGCACGGGAAUAAGGAAGGCCAUCGGUGAACCAGCCUAUCCUGUAUACACCGACGAAGAGGCGGAUGGAUCUGACACUGAAGACGAUCCCACAGGGACAGGAGAAGAAGAGAUGAUUACUGAAGAAGAUCCUGCCGCUGGAGAAGAGAUGGUCACUGAAGACGACCCCACUGCGACAGAAGAGGUAAUUGAUACCGAAGCUGAGGCCGACGAUGAUUCUUCGGUCAGACAGGAGGGUUCCGAGCUGGAGGAGAUCCUUUCGGAUUAA
rnacentral:rRNA from 1 species